UNGCAGGAUGCUCAACUGGUAACCCUCGCU
rnacentral:piRNA from 1 species